rnacentral:rRNA from 1 species
AUGGCGGCGUCGACCUACGAAGAGGCGAGAGGAGCGGUGGUGGCAGCGUCGAGCUGCGAAGAGGUGCCGCUUGAGCGUGAGACCACGGAGGCGGGAGCGGCUACUUCGGGCCCCGAUCUGGGAGGGUACGAGGCAGAAAAGGACGACAUCGUCGCCGUCAUAGAAUGUAGAUCGAGCUUGUAUCAAGCACUAUUGCUGAAGGUGGGCCUUAUGCCUCAAAGUCAUGACCUACUGCACCUCGGGAAGCAGUUUGUUCCUCCAAUGAUGGAUCCUGUUCUUGGUGAUUAUGCAAGAAAUGUGCCUGAUGCAAGGGAAUAUGAAGUCCUGUCCCUGUUUGCAACAAUUAUAAACAAGUACAAAGCUGAAAUGCUUGAUGAUGUGCCUCGUAUAUUCGAGUCACAUGUCGAGAUUUCACUGAUUGUUCGGUCUGGCCAGAUGAUUACUAAAAACUUCGAAGAUUAUCCUGAGCACCGCCUCAAGUUUUUUUCUUUACUUCAUGCUAUUAGCACCCACUGCUUCAAAGCUUUAAUUCAGCUUUCCAGCCAGGUUGAUGGUCUAACUGAGCCUCUAUGGGAUGCAUCGAUGGUGACCAAGUUUGUUGAUGGGCUACUUGGUUCGAGACAUGACCUCCCAAGCUUCAAAAACCAUAUUAGGGACUUCCUGGUGCAAUCAAAGGAGUUCUCAGCCAAGGAUAACAAGGAUUUGUAUGCGGAAGAGGCUGCGUUUGAUGUUCAAUUAGGCCUCCAGAGGCCUCCAUGUCCUGGAGCGUUCGCUUGUGUUUCUUGGCCGGCACUAGCGAAGGGGGAGGGCAGAGGUGUCGCGGACAAGGACGACAUGGUUGCCUUUGCCGAGAGCACCCGCAUCUUCAUCCACUGCCUCUCUGCCAUGUACUGCCUCCUGCCAUCCAUCUACUUGUUUUUCCUUGCCUCCACUUCUGCUCUGAUUCUUAGGAGUAAACCUAAUUGA